rnacentral:rRNA from 1 species
UACGUAGGGUGCAAGCGUUGUCCGGAAUUAUUGGGCGUAAAGAGCUCGUAGGCGGUCUGUCGCGUCGGAUGUGAAAACUCGGGGCUCAACCCCGGGCCUGCAUUCGAUACGGGCAGACUAGAGUUCGGCAGGGGAGACUGGAAUUCCUGGUGUAGCGGUGAAAUGCGCAGAUAUCAGGAGGAACACCGGCGGCGAAGGCGGCCCUCUGGAUCGUUGCUGACGCUGAGACGCGAAAGCGUGGGGAGCAAACAGG